GCUGCUGUAGCUCAGUCGGUAGAGCGCGUCCUUGGUAAGGACGAGGUCCGGGGUUCAAAUCCCCGCAGCAGCU
rfam:Phycisphaerae bacterium ST-NAGAB-D1, complete genome.